rnacentral:lncRNA from 1 species
UUGGGAAUGAAUUUUUACAUAAAUUGUAUCAAAAAACCAAAGUGUUGAUUUAAAGAUUUGAACUUGGAAAAAACAUUAUAAUACCUUAAUUAAAAAUAAAUUUGAUACAGAAUCUGGUUUUUAACUAUAUAAAAAAAAAACAAAAAAAAAAUUAAACAUAGAGCUGUGAAGACCUCGAGUUAACCAAUUAAUAGAUUGAUUUGAUGAAUUAGAUUAGGUAUUAUAAUUAAAAUAAAAAAGAAACAAAUAUUUUAUACAUAUAUUUUUAUAUAUUGAGAGGUUAAAUUACAGACUUGUUUUUAUUUCAGAAAAAUGAAGCCUUCAAAACUGGAAUAUAUUUGCUAAAGAAGGCUGGGAUCACGAGCAAAUUAAAAAUAUUUUCUUGUCCUUUCUCUCCUCUCCAAUUGCCCC